rnacentral:rRNA from 1 species
UACGUAGGGUGCGAGCGUUAAUCGGAAUUACUGGGCGUAAAGCGUGCGCAGGCGGUUUUGUAAGUUUGUCGUGAAAUCCCCGGGCUCAACCUGGGAAUUGCGAUGAAGACUGCAAGGCUAGAAUCUGGCAGAGGGGGGGUAGAAUUCCACGUGUAGCAGUGAAAUGCGUAGAGAUGUGGAGGAACACCGAUGGCGAAGGGCAGCCCCCUGGGU